rnacentral:rRNA from 1 species
GAUGAACGCUAGCGACAGGCUUAACACAUGCAAGUCGAGGGGCAGCACGGGAGUAGCAAUACAACUGGUGGCGACCGGCGCACGGGUGAGUAACGCGUAUGCAACCUACCUAUCAGAGGGGAAUAACCCGGCGAAAGUCGGACUAAUACCGCAUAAAACAGGGGCACCGCAUGGUGAUAUUUGUUAAAGAAAUUCGCUGAUAGAUGGGCAUGCGUUCCAUUAGGUAGUUGGUGAGGUAACGGCUCACCAAGCCGACGAUGGAUAGGGGAACUGAGAGGUUGGUCCCCCACACUGGUACUGAGACACGGACCAGACUCCUACGGGAGGCAGCAGUGAGGAAUAUUGGUCAAUGGGGCGGGAGCCUGAACCAGCCAAGUCGCGUGAAGGAAGAAGGAUCUAUGGUUCGUAAACUUCUUUUGCAGGGGAAUAAAGUGCAGGACGUGUCCUGUUUUGUAUGUACCCUGAGAAUAAGGAUCGGCUAACUCCGUGCCAGCAGCCGCGGUAAA